UCCGGUUUGUCACCGGCAGUCUCCUGCGAGUCCCCGCCAUUACGCGCUGGCAAAUAAGGACAAGGGUUGCGCUCGUUACGGGACUUAACCCAACAUCUCACGACACGAGCUGACGACAGCCAUGCAGCACCUGUCUCCGGGUUCCCGAAGGCACCCCCGCAUCUCUGCUGGGUUCCCGGGAUGUCAAGACCUGGUAAGGUUCUUCGCGUUGCGUCGAAUUAAACCACAUGCUCCACCGCUUGUGCGGGCCCCCGUCAAUUCAUUUGAGUUUUAAUCUUGCGACCGUACUCCCCAGGCGGCCAACUUAACGCGUUAGCUGCGCCACUAAGGGGACUAGGCCCCCCAACGGCUAGUUGGCAUCGUUUACGGCGUGGACUAC
rnacentral:misc_RNA from 1 species